GGCCAUGGCUCAAUGGUAGAACUUCUUCUUUGCAUGCAGAAGGUCCCAGAUUCAAUUUAUGGUAUUGCCA
rnacentral:tRNA from 1 species